rnacentral:lncRNA from 1 species
UUUCGUUUCUCUCCUCUCUCUGCGAAAGACGAAUCGAUGGCGAUUCCCUCCUUUCCGUGGCUCUCCUUGACGGAACGACGACGGCUCUAUCGGUGGGGCUCGGCGACGAAGGAAAACCGCGGUGGGUCUUGUCGUUGUUUGAAGACGGCAAGAAACGUCGAGAAACGGCGACAGACGGCGACAUCUCUCUCUAUCGGUGACUCUCUGAGACGAUCUAUACCGGCGACUGUUGCGGCUGAGGCGAAUCGAAAGGUAAAGCUGCAUGCAUGUCUUUAGAUUCUUCAUCCUCAAUCUUAAUAAAUCAUCUGAUUUGCUAUGAUUUGUUGUGUUUUUAGUGAAAUUGAUCAAGCGGCAUCACACAGGUUCUCUUUCUCUCAGUUAUUAAUUUGAAAUACAAAGUUUCAGAAUAUUUUUUGAUUUGUGUCUGUUUUCUCUUGAGGUGGAUUGAUCAAGAUGCUGUCCGAGAGAGUGUGUGUGGGGGUUAAGGUAUAUUUAGCUGUUUGUGUGUGGGGGUUAAGGUAUAUUUAGCUGUUUGAUCAAGAGGCUGUCCGAGAGAGUGUGUGUGGGGGUUAAGGUGGAUUGAUCAAGAGGCUGUCCGGCGACUGUUGUUGUCUUUGUAUAGUGUUCAUGGGUCUUUGGAGUUCACGGGUCUUUGCACUCUUGUCGUUGAUGUUCUUAUAUAUACUUAACAUUAUGAUCACAAGCCAUUGCCAUCUCACUUUCUUUUGAUCACAAGCCAUUCUCUCUGAUUUUAAUCUCACAUUCUCUCUAUCUUUUACUCUCACAUUCUCUCUAUCCUUCCAUUCUCUCUGAUUUUAAUCUUUUUUAAUUGUUAAGAACCUUAAUUAAGCUAUCACCAAUAAACCCCAAUAAUUAACUGUCUCUUAGCAAAAUCUCUUAUCAUAAUUUUAAUAAUUAAAAAAUCAUUACAAUCCACCUAAGAGACACUAAUGGGUCUCGCUAAUAAACAUGCUCUAAGGACUUAAGCCAUUGAUGCUCUUCUCUUCACCUGCUUAACAAAAAACUUCUCAUUCAUUCUUUGAAACGAUAUAUAUAUGUUCUUAUCACCUACUUUUCUAUUUUGUUGUUUCUCAG